rnacentral:rRNA from 1 species
GACAGAGGGUGCAAACGUUGUUCGGAAUUACUGGGCGUAAAGCGCGUGUAGGCGGCUAAGUAAGUCGGGCGUGAAAUCCCACGGCUCGACCGUGGAAGUGCACUCGAAACUGCAUAGCUAGAGUCCUGGAGAGGAAGGUGGAAUGCUUGGUGUAGAGGUGAAAUUCGUAGAUAUCAAGCGGAACACCGGUGGCGAAGGCGGCCUUCUGGACAGUGACUGACGCUGAGACGCGAAAGCGUGGGGAGCAAACAGG